CGAAAGCCUGACGGAGCAGGACCGCGUGAGGGAGGAAGGCUCUUGGGUUGUAAACCUCUUUUCUCAGGGAAGAAGCUCUGACGGUACCUGAGGAAUCAGCCUCGGCUAACUCCGUGCCAGCAGCCGCGGUAAGACGGAGGAUGCAAGCGUUAUCCGGAAUUAUUGGGCGUAAAGCGUCCGUAGGUGGCUUUUCAAGUCGGCGGUCAAAGACCGGGGCUUAACUCCGUUAAGGCAGUGGAAACUGAAUGGCUAGAGUGCCGUAGGGGUAGAGGGAAUUCCCGGUGUAGCGGUGAAAUGCGUAGAGAUCGGGAAGAACAUCGGUGGCGAAAGCGCUCUACUGGACGGCAACUGACACCCAGGGACGAAAGCUAGGGGAGCG
rnacentral:rRNA from 1 species